rnacentral:rRNA from 1 species
GACGUAGGGGGCCAGCGUUGUUCGGAAUUACUGGGUGUAAAGGGUUCGUAGGCGGUGUAGCAAGUCGGGAGUGAAAUCCCUCGGCUUAACCGGGGAACUGCGUCUGAUACUGGAUGGCUUGAGUUCGGGAGAGGGAUGCGGAAUUCCAGGUGUAGCGGUGAAAUGCGUAGAUAUCUGGAGGAACACCGGUGGCGAAGGCGGCAUCCUGGACCGAUACUGACGCUGAGGAGCGAAAGCCAGGGGAGCAAACGGG